rnacentral:rRNA from 1 species
UACGUAGGGUGCGAGCGUUGUCCGGAAUUACUGGGCGUAAAGAGCUCGUAGGUGGUUUGUCGCGUUGUCCGUGAAAACUCACAACUCAAUUGUGGGCGUGCGGGCGAUACGGGCAGACUGGAGUACUGCAGGGGAGACUGGAAUUCCUGGUGUAGCGGUGGAAUGCGCAGAUAUCAGGAGGAACACCGGUGGCGAAGGCGGGUCUCUGGGCAGUAACUGACGCGGAGGAGCGAAAGCGUGGGGAGCGAACAGG